GUUAUUUCUUACUGCUCUGAGCCAAAACCCCAAUGAAUCAAAACUUUCAACAACUGAUCUCUUGGCUCUGGCAUCAUGAAGAACGCACCGAACUGCGAAAAGUAAUGUGGAUUGCACAAUUCAGUGAAUCAUCGAAUCUUUGAACGCACAUUGCGCCCGCCA
rnacentral:rRNA from 1 species